AGUGAACGCUGGCGGUAGGCCUAACACAUGCAAGUCGAACGGCAGCACAGUAAGAGCUUGCUCUUACGGGUGGCGAGUGGCGGACGGGUGAGGCAUACAUCGGAAUCUACUUUUUCGUGGGGGAUAACGUAGGGAAACUUACGCUAAUACCGCAUACGACCUACGGGUGAAAGCAGGGGAUCUUCGGACCUUGCGCGAUUGAAUGAGCCGAUGUCGGAUUAGCUAGUUGGCGGGGUAAAGGCCCACCAAGGCGACGAUCCGUAGCUGGUCUGAGAGGAUGAUCAGCCACACUGGAACUGAGACACGGUCCAGACUCCUACGGGAGGCAGCAGUGGGGAAUAUUGGACAGUGGGCGCAAGCCUGAUCCAGCCAUACCGCGUGAGUGAAGAAGGCCUUCGGGUUGUAAAGCCCUUUUGUUGGGAAAGAAAAGCAGCAGGUUAAUACCCCGCUGUUCUGACGGUACCCAAAGAAUAAGCACCGGCUAACUUCGUG
rnacentral:rRNA from 1 species